CAGUCCAAUGAAAAGUUUUCAUGGAAUCUUAAAAGUGCGAACAUUUCAAAACAAGGAAAGUACGACCUUUCUCUGAAACCAGAGUUAGAAAAUGCAGGCGUUUUUACUUUCAUUCAAACUAAACCAGAGAAAGUUAAUUUGGUGCAGUUUGAAGUGUUUGCUGUAGAAGUGAAAUCAUUGCGCUCUCAAAAAGCACCUGAAGGAUCUGAUGUGACCAUGAGCUGUGAGGUAUCCCACCUUCCAGAUUCAGCUACACUGGCCUGGGAAUGGGACAGAGAACCCACUGCUAACACAACGCUGAUCUACAACAACACUGCCCACAUCAUCAUCCACAGUUUUGACGAACACAGUGAGGGAACCUAUAACUGUACACUCCGACGGAACGGAGCGCUUAUUUUCAGCGUUCCCAAUGAACUUAAAGUCACCAAGGAAACAUUUGCGACACACCACACUCUGUACAGAGGGAGUUUGAACAGCAGUGAGGCGGUGCUAAUCUGCCAUUCUCUGAUCUCAUACACAAAAGCCACCUGGUCUUGGGUGCCAGCGUCUGAGACCCAAGCAAUCCUUGUGGCCUCAGCUGGUAAACACAAGAAUGCUUCAAUUUCCAUGGAGAUGGACAAAGAGAGAUUCUCAUGUGAUGUCUAUGAUGGGUCUAAGUUUCCUUUGAAAAUCUCACCAGUGAAGUUUGGAGACAGUGGAAGGUAC